rnacentral:rRNA from 1 species
UACGUAGGGUGCGAGCGUUGUCCGGAAUUAUUGGGCGUAAAGGGCUCGUAGGCGGUUUGUCGCGUCGGGAGUGAAAGCCUCGGGCUUAACUCGGGGCUUGCUUUCGAUACGGGCAGACUAGAGGUAUGCAGGGGAGAACGGAAUUCCUGGUGUAGCGGUGAAAUGCGCAGAUAUCGGGAGGAACACCGGUGGCGAAGGCGGUUCUCUGGGCCUUACCUGACGCUGAGGAGCGAAAGCGUGGGGAGCGAACAGG